rnacentral:rRNA from 1 species
AUUGAACGCUGGCGGAAUGCUUUACACAUGCAAGUCGAACGGCAGCACGGGGCAACCUGGUGGCGAGUGGCGAACGGGUGAGUAAUACAUCGGAACGUGCCCAAUCGUGGGGGAUAACGUAGCGAAAGUUACGCUAAUACCGCAUACGAUCUACGGAUGAAAGCGGGGGAUCGCAAGACCUCGCGCGAAUGGAGCGGCCGAUGUCAGAUUAGGUAGUUGGUGGGGUAAAGGCUCACCAAGCCGACGAUCUGUAGCUGGUCUGAGAGGACGACCAGCCACACUGGGACUGAGACACGGCCCAGACUCCUACGGGAGGCAGCAGUGGGGAAUUUUGGACAAUGGGCGCAAGCCUGAUCCAGCCAUUCCGCGUGCAGGAUGAAGGCCUUCGGGUUGUAAACUGCUUUUGUACGGAACGAAACGGUUCUCUCUAAUACAGGGGGCUAAUGACGGUACCGUAAGAAUAAGCACCGGCUAACUAUGUGCCAGCCGCCGCUGUAAGAC